rnacentral:antisense_RNA from 1 species
AUCAGCCUUCCACUAGAAAAGCCAGAUAGUACUGGCAGGAACUAAGCAAAGGAAUAAUAAAACAAACAUGUAUUUAUUUUGUCACUAAUAUUAUUUGAUUAAAAACAAAUGUGAUAGAAAAUCGCUGUGUAUAUAUGUCUUACAUAUACAUAGGUGUGUAUAUAUGUCUUAUAUAUACAUAGGUGUGUAUAUAUGUCUUAUAUAUACAUAGGUGUGUAUAUAUGUCUUAUAUAUACAUAGGUGUGUAUAUAUGUCUUAUAUAUACAUAGGUGUGUAUAUAUGUCUUAUAUAUACAUAGGUGUGUGUAUAUGUCUUAUAUAUGUAUAGAUGUACAUAUAUACCUAUAUAUCUCUUAGCAACAGUUCUACAAAACUCAAUCAUUAUACUUUGGCAGAUUGGUUUUAGGUCAUUAGUAAGAGGAGAAGCACCACCAUGUGUCAUCAAAAUUCUUGCCUGUGCCUUCCGUAGGACAAAAAGAGGGUUUAUGAUUUUGCCCAUAUCAAUUCUU